CCUACGGGUGGCAGCAGUGAGGAAUCUUGGUCAAUGGUCGUAAGACUGAACCAGCCACGUCGCGUGCAGGAUGACGGCCCUAUGGGUUGUAAACUGCUUUUAUGCGGGGAUAAAAUGCGUCACGUGUGAUGUUUUGUAGGUACCGCAUGAAUAAGGACCGGCUAAUUCCGUGCCAGCAGCCGCGGUAAUACGGAUGGUCCGGGUGUUAUCCGGAUUUAUUGGGUUUAAAGGGAGCGUAGACGGCAGGUUAAGCUUGCCGUGAAAUGCCGUGUCUCAACCAUGGAACUGCUGUGCAGACUGGGUGGCUUGAGUGCGCGGGAGGUAGGCGGAAUUCGUGGUGUAGCGGUGAAAUGCUUAGAUAUUACGAAGAACUCCGAUUGCGAAGGCAGCAGACGGGAGCGCUACUGACGCUGAGGCUCGAAGGCGCGGGUAUCGAACAGGAUUAGAUACCCUAGUAGUC
rnacentral:rRNA from 1 species